UACAAAGUCUGUGUCUAGCUGAAUGGUCUGGAAAGUCCAACCAGAGACGGUGAAAGUCCGGUAAGCGAAAGGUGCAGGCCUCUUGUCAGUUUCCUGAGUACGAUCCAGCACGUGGAAUUGGGUCGGAAUCUGCGGGGACCACUCCGUAAGGCUAAAUACACUCGAUGACCGAUAGCGAACUAGUACCGUGAGGGAAAGGUGAAA
rnacentral:rRNA from 1 species